rnacentral:tRNA from 1 species
GGAGAGGUGCCGGAGUGGUUAAUCGGAGCAGUCUGUAAAAUUGCCGCCCUGACGGGCUUCACAGGUUCGAAUCCUGUCCUCUCCACCA